UGGCGGCGUGGAUAAGACAUGCAAGUCGAACGCUGAUUUCAGGGUAGCAAUAUUCUGGAGUCGGAGUGGCGCAAGGGUGCGUAACACGUGGGUAAUUUGCCAUGAAGCCCGGAAUAACUCGCUGAAAGGCGAGCUAAUACCGGAUGUGACGUUUGGGAGGCACCUCCUGGACUUUAAAGCUGGGGACCGUAAGGCCUGGCACUUCUUGAUAAGCCCGCGGCCUAUCAGCUAGUUGGUGAGGUAACGGCUCACCAAGGCUAAGACGGGUAGCUGGUCUGAGAGGACGACCAGCCUCACUGGAACUGAGAUACGGUCCAGACACCUACGGGUGGCAGCAGUCGAGAAUUUUUCACAAUGGGCGAAAGCCUGAUGGAGCGACGCCGCGUGGGGGAUGAAUGGCUUCGGCCCGUAAACCCCUGUCAUUUGCGAACAAACCUUGUCAUUUAACAGACGACAAGCUGAUUGUAGCGGAAGAGGAAGGGACGGCUAACUCUGUGCCAGCAGCCGCGGUAAUACAGAGGUCCCAAGCGUUGUUCGGAUUCACUGGGCGUAAAGGGUGCGUAGGCGGUUGGGUAAGUCCGACGUGAAAUCUCCGAGCCUAACUCGGAAACUGCAUCGGAUACUAUUCAACUCGAGGAAUGGAGGGGAGACUGGAAUUCUCGGUGUAGCAGUGAAAUGCGUAGAUAUCGAGAGGAACACCAGUGGCGAAGGCGAGUCUCUGGACAUUUCCUGACGCUGAGGCACGAAAGCCAGGGGAGCA
rnacentral:rRNA from 1 species